CCUGGCCUGGAAAUCCCCGUCUGGGAAGCACACUCGGGUUUCCCCCGCCCGGGAAGCACAUUCGGGUUUCCCCUGCCCGAGGAAGAGGGCCGAGGAAAGUACCCAAGCUCCCCGCUGACGGCAGGGCCAUCCGCCCCCGCCGAGGCGGAGCCCUGGUGCCCGGCCCCCCGAGCCCUCCCGUCGCCCCACGACGGCGCCCGGGGAGAGGGCGGUGCUGUGCCCGCCCCGCCAGGCGGUGCCAGCUCCCGGGCGAGCCCCGAGGCGGAGUUUCGGGGGAGGGCGGUGCCGGCGGGGCUGGCACCUCUCCCCCGCGCCCUGCCAGGCACCGCAUAUAGGCUGGGCCUUGCUGGGGCCCGCUGCGGGGGCCUGCUCGGAGGCCGUUUUGUUCUGCCACAAAAAUUUGAAUUAUUUAAACUACAGAUAUUUACAAUUUCUUCUUGAGGACAGUCAGUACCGAUAUGGAGGCGUAGGCACCUUAGAAGGGACUUCAGUCUUACCUCUGGGAGGUAGUUCUCUGCAGAAAUAAAGAAACUAAGGCAUCAAAUACUUUUUUUUUUAAAUCUGAGAGUUCUGAUUGCUUCUGUAUGCCAUAAACAUGGCAUACAGGCAAAGCUUAAUUCAACAGUAUAAAGCAUCAGAAUGUUUCAACACAAGGCAAUUAAUUAAUGUUAAAUCUGGUGACUCUGUUCUUGUAACUAAGGCACCAGGUUAAAACUGAAGUGCUCUGUUAAUUCGGUGCUGACUUGUAGACAAGCCUAUCCCAGGUUUGUUAAUAGAGUUCAUCCUUGUCUGAGACAGUGUAUAGGAUUUGUUUCUCUAAUAGCUGAAUAUUCUAUACGUGUGAAGUUGAGUAUAAACUAACUUCUUUAAUCUUAAGACCUUGUUACAACAAUAUGCAGAACUUAAGAGGUGUUUUUUUUGGAGUUCAGUAGUAGCAAAUAUACUAAGAUCAGUUCAGUACCUUCAGUUCAGGGUCUCUGUUUUUUGUAUGCCCUUUGAACUUGAUAAACCCUUCUUUUCAGCCUCCCCGUGAGGUUUUACAAACUAAAAUCUUUGUGUGUGUAUAAGCUACAUAUUUAUCAGCUGUCUAGGGUGAAAUCUUGUCCUUAAAUCACCUAACAUAUGUUCUGGAUAAGAACACUGUUCUUUUAAUUGCCCCCCAAUUUAGUUUCUUUAUUGACAAAGGAUUUUGAUAAAUCCACUUGUGGUUUUUCCUCUUUUGAUCUGACCUGCACGAGCCUGACAAAUUGUUACUGGUCUCCCAGAUAUACAGAACAAGUAAAGGAUGUGAUGCUUAUAUGAGUUAAUUUUCAACAUGCUUUCUUCAAUUGUUAAAAUGGGAUGGGGAAGCUUUUGCACUGAAAGCAGUUGCUAAACUAAGGUAUAAGAACUUGCCAAAUGUUUAUAGGCUGUUAAAUCAUGAGGUCAGUUCUAUUCAUAUGCACAUUUGAGGUUACACUUUAAAGUAUUUAUUGCUUUUGUACAGGUGGGGGGGUUGUUCCAAAUUGCCUUUAAUGCACAGAACUACCUCCCAGAGGAAGACUUGUCCCAU
ensembl:lncRNA